rnacentral:rRNA from 1 species
AACGAACGCUGGCGGCGUGGAUUAGGCAUGCAAGUCGAACGAGAAAGCACCCUUCGGGGUGCAAGUACAGUGGCGGACUGGUGAGUAACGCGUGGGAAACCUGCCUUCGAGUGGGGGAUAACAGUUCUAACGGACUGCUAAUACCGCAUAACGCUGUUGUUCGCAUGUUCAACAGUUAAAGAUGGCCUCUACAUGUAAGCUGUCGCUUGAUGAUGGUCCCGCGUCCAUUAGCUAGUUGGUGAGGUAACGGCUCACCAAGGCAACAAUGGGUAGCCGGCCUGAGGGGGUGGUCGGCCACACUGGGACUGAGAUACGGCCCAGACUCCUACGGGAGGCAGCAGUCGAGAGGCUUCGGCAAUGGGGAAACCCUGACGCAGCGACGCCGCGUGAGGGAUGACGGCCUGG